rnacentral:rRNA from 1 species
UACGUAGGGGGCAAGCGUUGUCCGGAUUUAUUGGGCGUAAAGAGCGUGUAGGCGGCCAGGUAGGUCAGCUGUGAAAACUCGAGGCUCAACCUCGAGACGUCGGUUGAAACCAUCUGGCUAGAGUCCGGAAGAGGAGAGUGGAAUUCCUGGUGUAGCGGUGAAAUGCGCAGAUAUCAGGAAGAACACCCGUGGCGAAGGCGGCUCUCUGGGACGGUACUGACGCUGAGACGCGAAAGCAUGGGGAGCGAACAGG